CAGAUUGUUAAAAUUGUCUUAAACCUAAACCUAACUCUAAUAUCACAGUUUAUGAUCACAGAUUGGUUGAAUAGGUAGAAAUACCAGACUAAUGUUUGAGGUUUAACAUCGAAUUAUAUUUACGUUGCAAUUGAUUAAACUAAUCUACAAUCCGUAAAUCGACUUAAUGCGCCAGUGGAUUGGAUACUUGCAUUCAUUCUAGAAGUUGAUAGAUCACCGUAGUGAAUCUACUGCCAGCCAGGGGCCACGUGAAAGAACACUAACUUUU